CCUAGGGGUGGCAGCAGUGGGGAAUAUUGGGCAAUGCGCAAGCCUGACCCAGCAACGCCGCGUGAAGGAAGAAGGCUUUCGGGUUGUAAACUUCUUUUCUCAGGGACGAAGAAAGUGACGGUACCUGAGGAAUAAGCCACGGCUAACUACGUGCCAGCAGCCGCGGUAAUACGUAGGUGGCAAGCGUUAUCCGGAUUUACUGGGUGGAAAGGGCGGGUAGGCGGGGAAGCAAGUCAGAUGUGAAAACCACGGGCUCAACCUGUGGCCUGCAUUUGAAACUGUUUUUCUUGAGUACUGGAGAGGCAGGCGGAAUUCCUAGUGUAGCGGUGAAAUGCGUAGAUAUUAGGAGGAACACCAGUGGCGAAGGCGGUCUGCUGGACAGCAACUGACGCUGAGGCGCGAAAGCGUGGGGAGCAAACAGGAUUAGAUACCCCGGUAGUC
rnacentral:rRNA from 1 species